CGGUGCCGGGAUUUGAACCGCGGGCAUCUGACAUGCGAGGCAAGCGUGUCUCAACCAUUCCACCACGCACC
rnacentral:tRNA from 11 species